AGGGUUGAAUGAUAGGAUCUCUCUGAACUGUGGCUCUCUUAGGCCUCCGUGCCACCAUUUCGAGUGUCCCGCGGCUGGAACCGGCCGGAGGACUGGAAUAGAGACGAGAGGUCAUGGCCGUCGCCGUCCCACCGCUCAAGUCGACACCCGUCCAGUUGGAGCCCCCAGGUGGCCGAAGACCCAUCAUUCAAGGACUCCAAGGAGCCUAUCUGGCUGAAGGGACUUUCAAAUAUAUUUGAAACCAUUUUAAAGAAUAAAAAGGAGGAAGCAGAAGAUUUGGGGUGACGAACUGAGUAGAAAAAAACAGAAGACUUGGGGUGAGGAACCAAGCUGGAAAGUCAGAGUGGCCCUUGAUGACUAGUAAAUCCCAGAAAUUUACUGGUUUUACGUGAGUUCCAGAAAGAAAUGAGCCGUCAGCUAUGGACAGUGCACUAUGCCCGAAGAGACGUUCAGAGGCCGCGCCAGCAAAUGCUCUAUAAAUACAAUUGAAUGAAGAGACUUUGGGAUAGUUUUAUUUCAGCCAGGAGAAGCUAAGGACAGAUUUGAAAUGUGGGCUGUAGAACACAGGACCAUACAUUAGAGUUGGUGGAUACGAUCCCUGCCCUCGAGGAGUUUACGGUCCAGUGGAGGAGCUUACUUACAGUCUAGCGGAAGACAUUUUCAUGACUGACUCCACUUGGCCGGAGCGAAGCCGAGUAACGUAGAGCAAGAUCAACCUUUGAAUGAUUCCUCAAGUGAAGAAAAGUCACCCAUGCUUGGGCAGCAGCGGCAUGGGAGAGAGUCGAGGGCGGAGACUGGAGUUUACCGCGCGGAAGGCGGCAGUGGUAAACCACUGCCGGAUUUUUUACCGAGAAAACUCUAUGGACCACUACCAGAACAAUUGCAGGUGGAG